rfam:Gossypium hirsutum cultivar TM-1 chromosome 17, whole genome shotgun sequence
CACGUCAGCGCGCUUUGCUGACAUGGCAACAAAUCGCGCCCUCUAGGACGUGAUUUGCUGCCACAUCAGUAAAGCGCGCUAUCGUGG